rnacentral:lncRNA from 1 species
GGUCACUCGGGUCUCCGUCUGUGCCAGGGAGGGAGAAUCACGCCCAGGGUCCUCUCUGGCUUCGCGCGACUGAGAACGCGCCCGGACGCGGCGCGGCGCUCCUGAGUCAAAGGAGAGGUGGCGGCAGGACCACCCCAGGGCGCCGUCUGCACCCCCGGACGCACUCGGCCGUGCUGCGCUUCCGGGACAAGGCGUCGGUUCUCGCCUGAGGGCCAAACCUUGCCCCUGCCCACCUUCCUCACCCCCGCCAUUUCCAGGACUCACAUCCAAAGGCGACAGCACCAGGAUUUGCUCCCGCCUUUGGCACAGAGGAGGACGGGUCCCUCUCUCAGCCUGGCCAGUCUUUCCCAGGGCUUGAUGGGAAAAAGGACUUCCCUAGAAGAGCUGUCCAAUCCCAGUACCUGAGCCCAGCUGCAGAGGGGAGAACUAGGCGGGAGAGAUGGAAGGGGCUGUGAGGCACAGGCCCAUCAGCAGAGCUCCACACUCCUCACAGACACACGGCGGGCAGGUCCGGACGCGCUGGGCCCUGGUCCCUUCGGCCGCAAACGGCGCAAGUCACGCACUGCGUUCACCGCGCAACAGGUGCUGGAGCUGGAGCGGCGCUUCGUCUUCCAGAAGUACCUGGCGCCGUCCGAGCGAGACGGGCUAGCUACGCGACUCGGCCUGGCCAACGCGCAGGUGGUCACUUGGUUCCAGAACCGGCGAGCCAAGCUCAAGCGCGAUGUGGAGGAGAUGCGCGCCGACGUCGCCUCGCUACGCGCGUUGUCCCCGGAAGUCCUGUGCAGCUUAGCACUGCCCGAAGGCGCUCCAGAUCCCGGCCUCUGCCUCGGCCCUGCCGGCCCUGACUCCCGGCCCCACCUGUCAGACGAGGAGAUACAGGUGGACGAUUGAAGACAAAGCCGCCGCCAAUCCUGGGCUCUGGGGCCCUGGACUCCUCACCUCGCGCUCUGCCUCUGGCCAGAGUUCCAGGGUGGAGGAAGGAGGUCC